rnacentral:rRNA from 1 species
ACUCCUACGGGAGGCAGCAGUGGGGAAUAUUGCACAAUGGGCGCAAGCCUGAUGCAGCCAUGCCGCGUGUGUGAAGAAGGCCUUCGGGUUGUAAAGCACUUUCAGUCGUGAGGAAGGUAGUGUAGUUAAUAGCUGCAUUAUUUGACGUUAGCGACAGAAGAAGCACCGGCUAACUACGUGCCAGCAGCCGCGGUAAUACGUAGGGUGCAAGCGUUAUCCGGAAUUAUUGGGCGUAAAGAGCUCGUAGGCGGUUUGUCGCGUCUGUCGUGAAAGUCCGGGGCUCAACUCCGGAUCUGCGGUGGGUACGGGCAGACUAGAGUGAUGUAGGGGAGACUGGAAUUCCUGGUGUAGCGGUGGAAUGCGCAGAUAUCAGGAGGAACACCGAUGGCGAAGGCAGGUCUCUGGGCAUUAACUGACGCUGAGGAGCGAAAGCAUGGGGGAGCGAACAGGAUUAGAUACCCUGGUA